UUUGUGCAAUUCAAUAAGCGGAGGAAAAGAAACUAACAAGGAUUCCCCUAGUAGCGGCGAGCGAAGCGGGAAGAGCUCAAAUUUAUAAUCUGGCACCUUCGGUGUCCGAGUUGUAAUCUCUAGAAAUGUUUUCCGCGUUGGACCGCACACAAGUCUGUUGGAAUACAGCGGCAUAGUGGUGAGACCCCCGUAUAUGGUGCGGACGCCCAGCGCUUUGUGAUACAUUUUCGAAGAGUCGAGUUGUUUGGGAAUGCAGCUCAAAUUGGGUGGUAAAUUCCAUCUAAAGCUAAAUAUUGGCGAGAGACCGAUAGCGAACAAGUACCGUGAGGGAAAGAUGAAAAGCACUUUGGAAAGAGAGUUAACAGUACGUGAAAUUGUUGGAAGGGAAACGCUUGAAGUCAGACUUGCUUGCCGAGCAAUCGGUUUGCAGGCCAGCAUCAGUUUUCCGGGAUGGAUAAUGGUAGAGAGAAGGUAGCAGUUUCGGCUGUGUUAUAGCUCUCUGCUGGAUACAUCUUGGGGGACUGAGGAACGCAGUGUGCCUUUGGCGGGGGUUUCGACCUCUUCACACUAGGAUGCGGGAAUGCUACCCC
rnacentral:rRNA from 1 species